AAGAUGAAGGCGAUGAACCGGUUCUUUGACGAGGGUGACAAGGUGAAGGUGACCCUGAAGUUCCGCGGCCGUGAAAUGGCCCACCAGGAACUCGGCAUGAAGCUUCUCCUUCAGGUUAAGGAAGAUACCCAGGCAAUUGCCAAGGUGGAAGCCGAGCCGAAGCUGGAAGGCCGUCAGAUGAUGAUGGUUCUCGCCCCGAGAUAAUUGCGCCAGUUCUGAAAGCUGCGUAAAUCACCGCCGCAAGGGGAAAUUUUCAUUCCCCGUUGCGCUUUUAGCCGACUGCGGUUAUAAGCGCG
rnacentral:misc_RNA from 1 species